UACGUAGGGUGCGAGCGUUAAUCGGAUUUACUGGGCUUAAAGAGUUCGUAGGCGGCGCGGAAAGUAGGGUGUGAAAGCCCUCGGCUCAACCGAGGAAUUGCGCUCUAAACUGCCGCGCUCGAGGAACCUAGAGGUGAGCAGAACUGAUGGUGGAGCGGUGAAAUGCGUUGAUAUCAUCAGGAAUACCGGAGGCGAAGGCGGCUCACUGGGGGUUAUCUGACGCUGAGGAACGAAAGCCAGGGGAGCAAACGGG
rnacentral:rRNA from 1 species